rnacentral:rRNA from 1 species
GAGUUUGAUCGUGGCUCAGAUUGAACGCUGGCGGCAUGCCUUACACAUGCAAGUCGAACGGCAGCACGGGAGCUUGCUCCUGGUGGCGAGUGGCGAACGGGUGAGUAAUGCAUCGGAACGUAUCCUGGAGUGGGGGAUAACGUAGCGAAAGUUACGCUAAUACCGCAUAUUCUGUGAGCAGGAAAGCGGGGGACCUUCGGGCCUCGCGCUCUUGGAGCGGCCGAUGUCGGAUUAGCUAGUUGGUGAGGUAAAGGCUCACCAAGGCGACGAUCCGUAGCAGGUCUGAGAGGAUGAUCUGCCACACUGGAACUGGGACACGGUCCAGACUCCUACGGGAGGCAGCAGUGGGGAAUUUUGGACAAUGGGGGCAACCCUGAUCCAGCCAUGCCGCGUGAGUGAAGAAGGCC